rnacentral:rRNA from 1 species
CGUGUAGGCGGGAAUGUAAGUCAGAUGUGAAAUUCCGGGGCUCAACCCCGGCGCUGCAUCUGAAACUGCGUUUCUUGAGUGCUGGAGAGGAAAGCGGAAUUCCUAGUGUAGCGGUGAAAUGCGUAGAUAUUAGGAGGAACACCAGUGGCGAAGGCGGCUUUCUGGACAGUAACUGACGCUGAGGCGCGAAAGCGUGGGGAGCAAACAGGAUUAGAUACCCUGGUAGUCCACGCUGUAAACGAUGGAUACUAGGUGUAGGAGGUAUCGACCCCUUCUGUGCCGCAGUUAACACAAUAAGUAUCCCACCUGGGGAGUACGGCCGCAAGGUUGAA